GAAAGCCCCGUUUAUCUGGUUGAAAGCGACGACGGACGCUGCACUACUCCUCUCUAUAUUAGUAUCGUCAGUGGUCAUCAGGAGUUGGACCCGCAGCCAUGUAGCAGCAGGGAGUGCGACGAUCAUGAAGGAAGCCCUGAUGAGGCUGGUGAAGGAGGGGCAUGGUCCCGCAGCGAGGUGUUGUUGCUGAUUUCACUUUAUGAAAAGUACUAU